GAGUGGACGAACCUCUGGUGUUCGGGUUGUCAUGCCAAUGGCAUUGCCCGGUAGCUAAGUUCGGAAUCGAUAACCGCUGAAAGCAUCUAAGCGGGAAGCGAGCCUUGAGAUGAGUUUUCCCUGGCACUAUAAGUGUCCUAAAGGGUUGUCGUAGACUACGACGUUGAUAGGCAGGGUGUGUAAGUGCUGCGAGGCAUUGAGCUAACCUGUACUAAUUGCCCGUGAGGCUUAACCAUACAACACCCAAGGGGUUU
rnacentral:rRNA from 1 species